CUGGAGGUAAAUAAAGUGAAGCAAAUGAAGACUCUGUUGCCUUCACUGAUACCUGCCUCCAAAAGUAAGAGCAGAGAGAACGUCCCUGGUCUGUAGUGAAAAGCCUUGGAUUUCUGCAUCUGCUUACAAAG
rnacentral:scRNA from 1 species